AACGAACGCUGGCGGCAUGCCUAACACAUGCAAGUCGAACGAGACCUUCGGGUCUAGUGGCGCACGGGUGCGUAACGCGUGGGAACCUGCCCUUAGGUUCGGAAUAACUCCCCGAAAGGGGUGCUAAUACCGGAUAAUGUCUUCGGACCAAAGAUUUAUCGCCUUUGGAUGGGCCCGCGUUGGAUUAGCUAGUUGGUAGGGUAAAAGCCUACCAAGGCGACGAUCCAUAGCUGGUCUGAGAGGAUGAUCAGCCACACUGGGACUGAGACACGGCCCAGACUGCUACGGGAGGCAGCAGUGGGGAAUAUUGGACAAUGGGCGAAAGCCUGAUACAGCAAUGCCGCGUGAGUGAUGAAGGCCUUAGGGUUGUAAAGCUCUUUUACCCGGGAUGAUAAUGACAGUACCGGGAGAAUAAGCACCGGCUAACUCCGUG
rnacentral:rRNA from 1 species